rnacentral:rRNA from 1 species
UGAGGAAUAUUGGUCAAUGGACGGAAGUCUGAACCAGCCAAGUAGCGUGCAGGAUGACGGCCCUAUGGGUUGUAAACUGCUUUUGUAUGGGGAUAAAGUUAGGGACGUGUCCCUAUUUGCAGGUACCAUACGAAUAAGGACCGGCUAAUUCCGUGCCAGCAGCCGCGGUAAUACGGAAGGUCCAGGCGUUAUCCGGAUUUAUUGGGUUUAAAGGGAGCGUAGGCUGGAGAUUAAGUGUGUUGUGAAAUGUAGACGCUCAACGUCUGAAUUGCAGCGCAUACUGGUUUCCUUGAGUACGCACAACGUUGGCGGAAUUCGUCGUGUAGCGGUGAAAUGCUUAGAUAUGACGAAGAACUCCGAUUGCGAAGGCAGCUGACGGGAGCGCAACUGACGCUUAAGCUCGAAGGNGCGGGUAUCAAACAGGAUUAGAUACCCUGGUAGUCCGCACAGUAAACGAUGGAUGCCCGCUGUUGGUACCUGGUAUCAGCGGCUAAGCGAAAGCAUUAAGCAUCCCACCUGGGGAGUACNCCGGCNACGGU